rnacentral:rRNA from 1 species
AGUGAACGCUGGCGGUAGGCCUAACACAUGCAAGUCGAACGGCAGCACAGUAAGAGCUUGCUCUUACGGGUGGCGAGUGGCGGACGGGUGAGGAAUACAUCGGAAUCUACUUUUUCGUGGGGGAUAACGUAGGGAAACUUACGCUAAUACCGCAUACGACCUACGGGUGAAAGCAGGGGAUCUUCGGACCUUGCGCGAUUGAAUGAGCCGAUGUCGGAUUAGCUAGUUGGCGGGGUAAAGGCCCACCAAGGCGACGAUCCGUAGCUGGUCUGAGAGGAUGAUCAGCCAAACUGGAACUGAGAAACGGUCCAGACACCUACGGGAGGCAGCAGUGGGGAAAAUUGGAAAAUGGGGGGAAGGCUGAACCAGCCAUACCGCGUGGGUGAAGAAGGCCUUCGGGUUGUAAAGCCCUUUUGUUGGGAAAGAAAAGCAGCAGGUUAAUACCCCGCUGUUCUGACGGUACAAAAAGAAUAAGCACCGGCUAACUUCGU